UGAUUUCUCGGCUGUCCCUAAACUGCGAAAGCGAAACGCGAAACGCGAAACGCCUAAAAUGCGGAAAAGCUGUGCGAAACGGACCCAAAAGUUGGGACCCUGUUUCGCAUUUUAGGCCUUGGGUCCGUACUAAAAUGCGAAAUCGGUGGGUGCGAAAUGUCAACAGAACGUCAACAGACGACGCCAUUAACAUACUUGCGUCACAAAAAUCUACUCGUCAAGGGGCGUAUCAAGUAAGUUAUCCGAGCAAUCGCGAUUCCAUAAGCAUACACGGGAAAAUCCCUCUACCGGGAAUCAGUUCGAACUAAAUUUUCCGUGUAUAAAAUUUGAUUGCUCCCCCCUUUCAAUGUCUUAAACAAAAAUAAUCCCACAGCGCCCAGCGGGCCGGAAUUUCUCUCAACAGUUGUUCGCCGAGGAAAAUCGGCUGACCAAGUCAAAUGGAAAAAACUAUCAGCCGAUAGCAGCCCGGCGUCUAAAUAUAUAUAGCUAUUCGAUUAAAAUUUAUUGAAAAUGCCACCCAGCUAAAACGUGCUGAAAGCUUCUUCCGCCUCUAUUCCACAAAGACUUAAUUGGAGAUUUCUCAUUCAAGAGCUCAUCCGAGGGACCCCCGUGCUCUUGAAGAAACAAGAGUAAUCGAGUCGACUAAAUAAAUUUAAUUUGAUAAGACUGUUUUCCCAUGAAAUACAAACAUUUUAUUUUCAAAA